CCUACGGGUGGCAGCAGUGGGGAAUAUUGCACAAUGGUGGAAAGACUGAUGCAGCGACGCCGCGUGAGUGAAGAAGUAUUACGGUAUGUAAAGCUCUAUCAGCAGGGAAGAAAAUGACGGUACCUGAUUAAGAAGCACCGGCUAACUACGUGCCAGCAGCGGUGGUACUACGUAGGGGGCAAGCGUUAUCCGGAUUUACUGGGUGUAAAGGGGGCGUAGACGGCAGCGCAAGUCUGAAGGGAAAUGCCGGGGCUUAACCCCGGAACUGCCUUGGAAACUGUGCAGCUAGAGUGCAGGAGAGGUAAGUGGAAUGCCUGGUGUAGCGGUGAAAUGCGUAGAUAUUAGGAGGAACACCAGUGGCGAAGGCGGCUUACUGGACUGUAACUGACGUUGAGGCUCGAAAGCGUGGGGAGCAAACAGGAUUAGAUACCCCGGUAGUC
rnacentral:rRNA from 1 species